ensembl:snoRNA
CUUCCCAUUUGUUUGCUGCUCUCGUCUCUCCGUGACAUGAGCAGUUAUACGCGUGGGGUAGAGUAGCAUUGGACCGUCGUAAGGGGAGGUGGGGUCGUCACCAUUUCCCCUCUUCUCCAUGGUCUGGACAGCG